AGGACGAACGCUGGCGGCGUGCUUAACACGUGCAAGUCGAGCGGAAAGGCCCUUCGGGGUACUCGAGCGGCGAACGGGUGAGUAACACGUGAGCAACCUGCCCCUGGCUCUGGGAUAGCCUCCGGAAACGGGGAUUAAUACCGGACAUGACCCUUGACCGCAUGGUUGGGGGUGGAAAGUUUUUCGGCCAGGGUGGGGCUCGCGGCCUAUCAGCUUGUUGGGGGGGUGACGGCCCACCAAGGCGACGACGGGUAGCC
rnacentral:rRNA from 1 species